rnacentral:lncRNA from 1 species
GGCCUACACAGAGCCCCUUAUGGGGGUGGAGGGUGAGGGACACCUGGGCCUGGGGCUAAGGCUGCCCCCCCACGCCCCCACUCCCUAGACUACUGUGCAGCCUCAGGCAAUUGACUUCCCCUCUCUGAGCCUCCUCUGUCAACCUCCUGCCUGCCUGCCUGCCUUCUAGGGGUGGUGGGACCCCGGCCAUGCUCACUCAGCUGCAGCCGUCUGAACAUGUACGUGACUAUGAACAUCAACGUGAACAUGAACUCUGGCCCCUGCCCCAUCCUGUCUGUCCUGCUGAUGAAGCCUCUCCGCCCCGACUCCUCACACUGGCUUAGAUGUGGGCUGAAGCCUGGGGUGGGGGCUUGGAUGCUGUCCUGGGAGGCCCCACGCCCCGCCAUGGGCUGCCUCAGUUUCCCCCGGCCACCCCGUGGUCCCUCUAGGCCUCGGCGUGGAUGGGGGAUGGAGGCUGGAGGAGGGAGGGUGAUGCACUGUGUGACCCUGGGCAGACCCCCUUGUCUCUCUGGGCCUCAGUUUUCCCAUCUAUACCAUGGGAAGCAGGUGGUAAUGACACUGGUCCCAUAGCUGUACCACGAUGGUCUCCAGAGACGCCCCUGGGGACCCCACAGGCUGAGUCUGGGGCCACACCCCAUCCCCCCAGGACCAAGGUGGAGGGAAAUUUGGCCUCAGGGAGAGGCCAGGUGGGGGCUCGAGGCCCAGGUGGGGUGUGGGAGGCUGGCGCCCCUGUGCCGGGGGUGUGGCGUGGGACCCAGCAGGCCCUCUUCGCCCUGAGCCCCCCGGGCCGGCCCCUCUGCCCUGCCCCUCCCGCCCCACCAGCCGGCCUCUCGGCCCCUACCUGUGCCUGAUAAAUGCCCGCAGGAUCCCUUGGUCCUAAUCCCACAAAGGAACGGUUUGCAGGGGACGUGUCGGGCGGAGAGUAGGCUGCAGGGAGGAGAGAGACCGAGAGCCCGUUAGCGAGGGGUUGUGGGAGCCGGGGCGGCCCUGGCCCCAGAGAGGGUGGCCACCGCCAGGCGUCACACAGCCGGGCCUCUGCACCCAGUGCCUGGGGCCUCCGAGCCUGCCGCCCUCCCCCCAGUUGAACCGGGCCCCCCUGAAAGGCCCAAGGUCCUUGGGAGGCGGGGAUCCUGACUCGAGGGGCCCGGGGGUCACGGCUGAGAUCGCCCAGGUGGGCGGGGUGUCUGCUGAGAGGGAAGGCAGGAUGGCUCUGUAAUUCACAAAACCGCCCGUGAAUUAUUCAGGGUGUGCAGCGCCCACCCGGUCCUGCCACUGAGGGCUGCCUCCACGCGGGGUGCGUGAAUUAUUGAGGGCGUUUUAUUUAUUAAUCUUCCUCCCGGAGAGGGCAGAGGGAGGGCUGGGUGUGUGCAUACAUACAGAUGUGCGUAUUUAUAUUUCAGUCUCAGCGAUCAUAUUUUGUUGGCGUGUGAGUAACUCACGGCCUGGUGCUACAGCACAGAUGGGGGCCUCAGACAGGCCGGGACCCAGGUAGGGGGAGAAGAAGCUGCAACAGGCAGGGUCCCCAAGUUGUCCUGGCUGGGGUUGGGGGCAGCUGGAGGCAGCGAGGCUUAUGGGGAGAAGUAGGAGUAGAUUUGCAGUUAAGAGCCCUGGUGCAGGGAAAGGCCAGGCUCUGGGCAUAAUCCCAUCGAGCCCUGAGUGGAUCCUAAGCAGUAUCCUGCAUCUAUUAAGUGUCUACUGUAUACCAGGUUCCGGGCAUAAUCCCAUCGAGCCCUGAGUGGAUCCUAAGCAGUAUCCUGCAUCUAUUAAGUAUCUAUUGUAUACCAGGCUCUGGGCAUAAUCCCACUGAGCCCUGAGUGGAUCUUAUGCAGUAUCCUGCAUUUAUUAAGUGUCUACUGUAUGCCAGGCUCUGGGCAUAAUCCCACCGAGCCCUGAGUGGAUCCUAUGCAGUAUCCUGCAUCUAUUAAGUGUCUAUUGUAUACCAGGCUCCGGGCAUAAUCCCAUCGAGCCCUGAGUGGAUACUAAGCAGCAUCCUGCAUCUAUUAAGUGUCUACUGUAUACCAGGCUCUGGGCAUAAUCCCACCGAGCCCUGAGUGGAUCCUACGCAGUAUCCUGCAUCUAUUAAGUGUCUACUGUAUACCAGGCUCUGGGCAUAAUCCCACUGAGCCCUGAGUGGAUCCUAAGCAGUAUCCUGCAUCUAUUAAGUGUCUACUGUAUGCCAGGCUCCGGGCAUAAUCCCAUCGAGCCCUGAGUGGAUCCUAAGCAGCAUCCUGCAUCUAUUAAGUGUCUACUGUAUACCAGGCUCUGGGCAUAAUCCCACUGAGCCCUGAGUGGAUCUUACACAGUAUCCUGCAUCUAUUAAGUGUCUACUGUAUGCCAGGCUCUGGGCAUAAUCCCACCGAGCCCUGAGUGGAUCCUACGCAGUAUCCUGCAUCUAUUAAGUGUCUACUGUAUGCCAGGCUCUGGGCAUAAUCCCACCGAGCCCUGAGUGGAUCCUAUGCAGUAUCCUGCAUCUAUUAAGUAUCUACUGUAUGCCAGGCACUGGGCAUAAUCCCAUCGAGCCCUGAGUGGAUCCUACGCAGUAUCCUGCAUCUAUUAAGUGUCUACUGUAUGCCAGGCACUGGGCAUAAUCCCAUCGAGCCCUGAGUGGAUACUACACAGUAUCCUGCAUCUAUUAAGUGUCUACUGUAUGCCAGGCUCUGGGCAUAAUCCCAUCGAGCCCUGAGUGGAUUCUACACAGUAUCCUGCAUCUAUUAAGUGUCUACUGUAUGGCAGGCACUGGGCAUAAUCCCACCGAGCCCUGAGUGGAUCCUACGCAGUAUCCUGCAUCUAUUAAGUGUCUACUGUAUGCCAGGCUCUGGGCAUAAUCCCAUCGAGCCCUGAGUGGAUUCUACGCGGUAUCCUGCAUUUAUUAAGUGUCUACUGAAUACCAGGCUCUGGGCAUGAUCCCACUGAGCCCUGACUGGAUCCUAUGCAGUCAACGCUCCCAUUUCACAGAUGUGCAUGCAGGGACAGCUGGCAAGAAUGACCACAGCUGCCUGACACCACGCAGCAUCAGGCGCCACAUGGAAUGUCCUCUCUGCCUCCCUGACCCAUGUCACCAGCUUGUCCCCCACUGCCCUGUGAAUUGGGCACCAAGGCAAACCCACUUUGCAGCUGAGAAAACUGAGGCUCAGAGAGUGGAAGACACCUGCCUGAGGUCACACAGUGAGAGAGCUGCAGAGGUGGGAUUCCAGCCCAGGGUGGAUUUGGGGCUGAUCUCCUCCAGCCAGUGAUCAGAAGCCGGUUUUUAUGGGCAGGCAGCCCGGGUUCUGGCAUGCAGUGGGGACGGGGGGAGGAAUGCCGGGGCAGGGAGAAGAAGAGCUGAGGGUACCUAGAAGGAACCGCGGCCACCAACUGCUUGGGUGGGGUGGGGGGGUCUCAUUUGGAGAUUGAGGGACAGAGAUGCUCAAAAAGGGGGGUGAGGGGCAGAUGGAGUCCAUGGGGAGAGGUCUCUGGGUUCAGAGAUGUCUGGCGCCCUGUGAGGAUGGGUGACCCACCCAAGCCUGCAUGGGGGUCGUGGGGAGAGUCUGGGGGUAGAGCCACUGCGGACGAAUGGGGUGGACCUCAGGACAGGGAUGCCGGGACCGAGAGGCCAUCCAGCGGCCACCCAGAACCACAUCCAGAGAGCGGAAAAAUCUACAAGGUGCAGCAGCCGCCAACCCAGGGGCUUCCGGGUCAGGUGGACAGGCGAAGAGAGUCCCACCUAAAGGUGUGGUCCAGCCCAGGUCACCCAAAGGAACUGGGCCUGGUGUAGCUCCUUUCUCCCCAAGAAGCCAGAACUCUGGAAAUGUUUAUGUAAAACGUCCUGAUUUUAAAAUGAUAACAACUGAUUCUCCUUCUCCACAAACAAAAGACCAGUCUGGGGGUCGAGUCUGGCCCUUGGGCCGCCACUGUGAGAUCUGUGUCCACUGUCAGCUGCCUGACACUCCAGUGAGGGUUUCUGACGGCCCACGGCGGGCACCGGGGUCCCCCAGGUGACUCGGCGAAGGGGACAGACCCUGGACUCUCAUCCUGGCCCGUGGCUUGGUCCAGCCAGCCCCUAAGGCUGCCUCAGCCCUACAUGGGCCCAACCACGUGGCCCCUGGGCUGUUUUCCAGAGACCCACCAAACUCGCCAGGCCCCGCAGGGUCGGGCCUGACCUCUGACCUGGCAGUGGGGCUGGGGAGGGGACAGGCCCCCCUGCGGACAUCCGCCCCACCAGGGCACCGCUUCCCGCGUGCUUACAAGGCGAGGUCGGCGACGUGGCUCCUCCCUCGGAGGUGGUGGCGGGUUUGGUGGCAGGGGGGAGCGCCAGCCGUGGCAGCCCCGGGGGCGGAGGUGCCAGCAUCUGAGCAGAAAGGCAGUGGCUGGGCAUUUUGAGCUGACCACUUCCAUUUAACUGGGGGAACAGAGAGACACGUGGUUAAGGGGUGGGCUCCCCCUCUACCUCGGGCUGCUGGCGCCGGCCG